GCGCCGAGAUCCCUGGGGAAGUAGGGGAGCGGCCGACGCCGAACCGCACGCACAGGCCGGCGGCGCGCGCGAGGGCGGGGGCGGUGCGUUCGUGUGUGCGCGUGAGUGUGUGUAUGUGUGUAGAGCUCUGGUGCGGUGCGCCAGCCGCCAGUGCCCGGGUGCGAGUCCCCCGUCGUCUUCCACACCCUCCUUCCGUCCCCGUUCCUUCUCUGCCACCCUCCCGCGCCCCCACGGCCGCAAGCCGAGCAGAAGCCCAGGAAGCAGGUGUGGGGCGGCGGGCGGGGUCGCACGAGACAAAGGGGCCCGGGGGUCAGCCCGCCAUGGCCGCCCGGAGCCUGGGGGGCCUGGGAGGGAGCCGCGGCGGGGGCGGCGGCGGCAAGAAGAGCCUGAGCGCCCGCAACGCCGCCGUGGAGAGGAGGAACCUGAUCACGGUGUGCAGGUUUUCUGUGAAGACCCUGAUUGAUUGAUCCUACUUUGAGACAAUUGAUGAUUCUUCUGAAUUUAAGAAUUUUGCAGCCAUUUUGGAACAGAUUCUAAGUCACCAACUGAAAGGUCAAGUAACCUGGUUUGGUUACGGAAGUCCUCGUAGCUUCUGGGACUAUAUCAGAGUGGCCUGCCGGAAAGUUUCACAGAACUGUAUCUGCAGCAUUGAAAAUAUGGAGCAUGUCAGUUCCUCCAGAGCUAAGGUAUCAGAAACAUCUAGAAAUUGCCAAAAGGAUUGGAAUUAAAAAAACUAUUUCAGCGAACAUUUCUAUGGGCACUGCCUUCCUGCUAAUAUAUGCAUCGUAUGCACUGGCCUUCUGGUAUGGAUCCACUCUAGUUAUAGCCAAAGAAUACACUAUUGGAAAUGCAAUUACAGUCUUUUUCUCAAUCCUGAUCGGCGCCUUCAGCAUUGGACAGGCGGCUCCCUGUAUUGAUGCUUUUGCCAAUGCAAGAGGAGCAGCAUAUGCGAUCUUUGCUAUUAUUGAUAAUGACCCUAAAAUUGACAGUUUUUCAGAGAGAGGACACAAACCAGACAACAUCAAAGGGAAUUUGGAGUUCGAAGAUGUUCAUUUCUCUUAUCCUGCUCGGCCGGAUGUCAAGAUCUUGAAGGGCCUCAACCUGAGGGUCGAGAGCGGGCAGACGGCGGCCCUGGUUGGGAACAGCGGCUGUGGGAAGAGCACGGCAGUGCAGCUGGUGCAGAGGCUGUACGACCCUGACGUGGGGAGGAUUAUCAUCGAUGGGCAGGAUAUUAGGACAUUUAAUGUAAAGUAUCUGAGGGAAAUAAUUGGAGUGGUGAGUCAGGAGCCAGUGCUCUUUGCCACCACCAUUGCUGAAAAUAUCCGUUACGGCCGUGGAAGUGUCACCAUGGAUGAAAUAAAGCAAGCUGUGAAGGAAGCCAACGCCUAUGAGUUUAUCAUGAGAUUACCACAGAAAUUUGACACCCUGGUUGGAGAGAGAGGGGUCCAGCUGAGCGGUGGACAGAAGCAGAGAAUCACCAUCGCCCGGGCACUGGUUCGCAACCCCAAGAUUCUGCUGCUGGAUGAGGCCACCUCAGCACUGGACACGGAGAGUGAAGCCGAGGUUCAGGCGGCCCUGGAUAAGACCAGGGAAGGCCGGACCACCAUAGUGAUAGCGCACCGGCUGUCUACGAUCCGAAAUGCAGAUGUCAUCGCUGGGUUUGAUGAUGGAGUCAUUGUGGAGCAAGGAAGCCACAGAGAACUAAUGAAGAAGGAAGGGGUGUACUUCAGGGUGGUAAACACGCAGGAUGCUUUUCUGAAAAUCAUUCAAAAUGAGGGCAUUAAAUCCCUGUGGAGUGGCCUUCCUCCUGCGUUAGUGAUGGCAGUUCCUGCCACAGUUAUUUAUUUUACCUGCUAUGAUCAAUUAACUACUCUUCCGAGAUCUAAAUUAGCAGAGAAUGAAAGCCGCAUACCAAUUGUUGCUGGAAUUGUGGCCAGAUUUGGCGCAGUGACUGUAAUAAGGCCAUUGGAAUUGAUUAGAACCAAGAUGCAAUCUAAGAAGUUUUCUUAUGAGGAACUACAUCGAUUUGUCAGCAAGAAAGUAUCUGAAGAUGGUUGGAUUUCCCUCUGGAGGGGCUGGGCUCCUACCAUUCUUAGAGAUGUACCAUUCUCAGGGUCAUCCCAGUGCACCAGCCCCGAGCUCCCUGUCUCAUGCAUCGAACCUGGACUGGCGAUCUGUUUCACAUAUGUUUGCAGCUGUUCUGACUUUGCCAUUUGAUGAACACAAAAGCAGACAUAACUUUGGAUAUAUGAAAGCCAGAAAAUUUCUGUGCCUUUGCAAAUGUCAACCUGGACUAUAAUGAAGAACAUUGUUGCUAAGAAUGGCUUUUCUGAUUGGAAUGAUACAGAGAAGAUUAGCAUGGCCCCUGCGCAAGGAUGACACGCAAAUUCGUGAAGCGUUCCAUAUUUUUGGAAUAUUACUCAGCCAUUAAAAAGAAUUCAUUUGAACCAGUCCUAAUGAGAUGGAUGAAGCUGGAGCCCCUUAUACAGAGUGAAGACUGAUUCCUCGUUUAACUAAAAUUGCUCCUGCUUCUGCUGUUACAAUCAGUACAUAUGAAUUUGGAAAGUCUUUCUUCCAGAAACAAAAUGCUCAAAGACAGCAAUACUAGAGAUGCCGUUUAAACCUGAAAUAACAACCUCGACCAAAUAAUAAGAGGAGACUCUUAGGCAAGAGCUUUUUUCACUUUUUUCGCUAUUAUCUUACAGUGGUUUUCUAGCAUUCUUAUCUAUAAUUUAAAUGAAUAGUAAAUCUCUACUUUGCAUUUAAUCAUUCUAACUUCAAAUUUUUAUCCUAAAUUUUGAGAAUUUGAAAAAGAUAUUCCAGAAAUCAUAACCAUUGAGCAUUCUUCUAAAGAAGAGAAAAAUUAUUCUACACUGAAAGCAAUAAUCUUAGAGUUUGGUACAGAUUUCUAUGUAACUUCAUACUGUUGGGAGUGUCAAGAGACGUCAAACAUUUUUGCAAUUGCAUGCUGAAUGAUGUACACAGUCUAAAAGAAUUCCCAAGUCUUUUAAAUCAUGGACAUAGAUAAUUGUUUCAACAAAGUAGAUAACAAAAUUGCCUAUCAGUUAUUUUCUUUAAUUCACAUAUAUUUGGGUUUUUUUUUUUUCCCCACCCUGUUACUGUUUUAAGGCCUCAUGUGUAUUAAGAUUUCUCUGAUCAGAGGUAUGGCUAUCUUAUGUUCAUGAACCAAAAAUAUAACUUGUGUGAUAUUGAUGCUGCUAUUUUUGAUGUUUAAAGACCCUGUAUUAUCUACUGUUUCUGUGAGAGAGAGCGUUUACUGACCGUAUUAAAUGUUCACUUCAGUCAAACUUGCAGUGGAAAACCACACUGUAUUCAGGCUAGUGAGAAUGCUGUUUCAGCACAAGAAAGGCCUCUGGUUUCAGCUGUCUUGUCAGCAGGUAUUACCAUUUGUGAAGUUCUCUAGGUCACGUCUGUUCUCUUGUUCUAACAUCACUGAGACAGAGAGGCUAAUGCCUAAGAAGUUUAGUUUAUGAAUGUAACAAUGAAAAAGAAUAUGAUUUCAAGACAAUAUUUUUUAAUAUUUUUGUUUUGCACUUUAUUGCAGUCUAUCUGUAUUUUAUGAAAAUGUGAAACGUUUUUCCCUAAAAUAGAGUAAUACAUAUUUAAGUGACAAAUCUCUAGUGUUGGUAGGAAUUAAUGUAUUUUCUAAUAUAGUAGAAAACUAUGUUUCACCAGAAAGAAGCUAUAUAGGGUUUGUAUUUAAGCUUUUUGUGUUUAUUUUAUCCUGUGUUAAUAUACCUUAUGUUUGCAACAUAUAUAUCCAUAAAAAUAUAAAUAUAUUUUCAUUGAAAUAUUUUGUGCUUUCUUAAAGCUACCACUGUGCUUCUAGCUAAAUACUAUGCUAUACUAUCAACAUAUGUAUAAAACACAUGGAAGUUUAUCUAGAACACUGAUUUGAACAGUAUUAAAUUUAAAUUUACCUUUGUUUUGCUGUGCUUCUUUUGGUUAACUGGUAGGAAAAGGUAAAAAAAUUUAGGUUUUGAACAAUAGUUUCAAAAAACAGUUAUGUAUUUCAAGUUAAUGUCACUUAUAAACAAACAGAAGGGAAACUUUCAUCCUCUCCUUGCCCCACUACUGACUGUGUUGUGGAAAAUUCUUAUUUUAUAAAAGAACUUAAAUAAACCUAAUUCCCUGUUGUUUUUGUAACAUAUGUUACAUGCAAGGUAUCUGAAAGAAAGAAGUCUGAAUUUAGUCUUUGUCUAUACUUAAGUGGGGAGAAGGCAAUGGCACCCCGCUCCAGUGCUCUUGCCUGGAAAAUCCCAUGGACGGAGGAGCCCGGUAGGCUGCAGUCCAUGAGGUCGCUAAGAGUCGGACACGACUGAGCGACUUCACUUUCACUUUUCACUUUCAUGCAUUGGAGAGGGAAAUGGCAACCCGCUCCAGUGUUCUUGCCUGGAGAAUCCCAGGGACGGGGGAGCCUGGUGGGCUGCCGUCUAUGGGGUCGCACAGAGUCAGACACGACUGAAGCGACGCAGCAGCAGCAGCAGCAUACUUAAGUGGUAAAAAAGCGUUACUAGUAGAAACCAAAAAAGGUGUGGCUACAAAUUGUAUUCUUGGUAAUGUUUCUAAAUGCAUUCUGUUAAUGUUAAAAUUUCUACCAUACACAUUUCUUAUGUGUAAGUUUUUUAAGAAAAUUGUCUUAUUCAAGUAUUACA